rnacentral:rRNA from 1 species
UGGGGAAUAUUGCGCAAUGGGCGAAAGCCUGACGCAGCGACGCCGCGUGAGGGAUGAAGGUUUUCGGAUCGUAAACCUCUGUCAGAAGGGAAGAAACUACGUUGUGCUAAUCAGCAGCGUACUGACGGUACCUUCAAAGGAAGCACCGGCUAACUCCGUGCCAGCAGCCGCGGUAAUACGGAGGGUGCAAGCGUUAAUCGGAAUUACUGGGCGUAAAGCGCACGUAGGCUGUAGUGUAAGUCAGGGGUGAAAUCCCACGGCUCAACCGUGGAACUGCCUUUGAUACUGCACAACUUGAAUCCGGGAGAGGGUGGCGGAAUUCCAGGUGUAGGAGUGAAAUCCGUAGAUAUCUGGAGGAACAUCAGUGGCGAAGGCGGCCACCUGGACCGGUAUUGACGCGGAGGUGCGAAAGCGGGGGGAGCAAACA